UAGCUUUCCUGCCAUCUCUCUCUUGUCUUCUGCUAGGAGUUUAGCUAGGGCACGAAGUCUGUUCGUCUCAGAGCAAGAAAAACCCCCUCUCUUUUUACAGUUCGCUGCUCUGGCCUUGGAGCUGAAGUACUCCUUAAUUUUGAGAUUGUUUGCGUUUUGGUUAGCGUCUAAGCAAGAUAGAGGAAAUUCUGGAAGUAGGCCCGGUGGUAGUAGUGGUGCAGCUUAGGGGAUCUGUUUGUGUGACUCUCAGGAGCAGUCUAUGGCCCUAAGUGCCUUUUUUUUUUGUAAUAUCAUGCUCUAGAGGAGCAUCGUCUUUUGUAAAACUGUUAACUUUCCUUUGUGGUAGUUAUGGCAUGGUGGUAUGCCCAAGUUUGCUUUCAUAGUACACUCUGGGAUGACUGUAAUAAUUACCUUUCUUAUCUUUUGUGUUCAUCUGAUUGCCUCUCAUUAUUAUGACCAUGUGAUAUAUUUUUAAGU